ACUACGCAAUGCCCCAACCAAUGAUGGCAAGCAUACUGUGCACCUUCCUUACCACUUUGUUUGUGUUGCCACUGGCAAGGAGCUGUGGACCUGGACCCCAAGAUUCAUCUGUACAUUUACUGUAUACUUACCCCCAUGCAGUGCAACAUCUCACACUUGUUCGGAUUAAACUUCACCUGACAUUUCUCCGCCAACUUCUGUGGCUGAUCUAUAUCCCGUUGUAAACCUUGUUUCCACAGAACUUCCUGCAGGAGGAUAUCUAAUGGUGGAUGUCACCAGCGACACUUGUUCCAUCGUCUAGCUGGAAAUAUUCUGACCUACAUUGUUGCUGAAGGUGUGAGCUGCUCGACAGUGCAGCAAGAAAAUGGAAGAAGCUCCAACUGAGAGGAGGUUGACCAGGCUAGGGCUGUAUUCCUUGGAGCGCAGGAGGAUGAGGGGUGAUCUUAUAGAGGUGGAUAUAAAGAUACUUCUUACCUGCUUGAGUUGUCUUUCUCUUGACCAUCUCCCGGUGAAGAUGCUGUUAAGCUUCCUUCUUCAGGAGGCUGAGUUUCUCCGAGAUUGCAGGAGCCGAGGUCGUUGGUCAGAAUCUCUGUGCAAGUAACUUUACUCGGAGUUGAAAUGGAGCUGGUUGCUUUAUUUAGAAGAUUUUCAGUGUUCGAGGCCAGCUGACAGCUUUGGGAGUCACUGUGUAUUUGAUUCUGACAUGUUCAAUGUAAAAACUCAUUCCAAGUACCAUGCCAGGAAUCUCCAUGGUGACUGUCCUAUUAAUCUACAAAAUCAAAUGACGGAGCCAUUACAAUUCUCAGACUUCUGGCAUCAGGACCGCUCUCUCUCUCUCUCUCCCUCUCUCUCUGUUGUUUGACCCUUGUGUUCUUUACCUUGGAGGUUUUGUUUAUUGUCCCCAAAAUAAAAUGAGCACCACAGCUGUUUGCAAAGUGAUGAAUUGCAGAUGAUGUGUGAAUCAUCAGCAUGUAUUGCUGUGAAGGCUUUGUUGUUGUUUUUCUGUGUUACACUGUGCUCAAGUUCAAACUUGAGAGCAAGGGCUGACUCAUUAGAAGCUUAUUUUGUAAUUGUACAUCGAGAUUUUAAAGGGGAGGGGAGGAGUUGGGUGGUGCUGAGUGUAUUGCACUGACGGAACCUUUCCAGUCUAAAUGAGCUAAAUGUAUCUAAAUAAACAGAGGAACUCGACAUCAAACAAAACUAGAAUCAUGUAUCUGUACACUGUGGACGGCUCGAUUUUAAUCAUGUGUUGUCUUUCCGCUGACUGGUGUGCAGGCAACAAAAGCUUUUCACUGUACCUCGAUACCGUGACAAUAAACUCAAUUCAAUUCAUACAACCAUAUAACAAUUACAGCACGGAAACAGGCCAUCUCGACCCUUCUAGUCCGUGCCGAACACGUAUUCUCCCCUAGUCCCAUAUACCUGCGCUCAGACCAUAACCCUCCAUUCCUUUCCCGUCCAUAUAACUAUCCAAUUUAUUUUUAAAUGAUAAAAACGAACCUGCCUCCACCACCUUCACUGGAAGCUCAUUCCACACAACCACCAUUCUCUGAGUAAAGAAGUUCCCCCUCAUGUUACCCCUAAACUUCUGUCCCUUAAUUCUCAAGUCAUGUCCCCUUGUUUGAAUCUUCCCUACUCUCAGUGGGGAAAAGCUUAUCCACAUCAACUCUGUCUAUCCCUCUCAUCAUUUUAAAGACCUCUAUCAAGUCCCCCCUUAACCUUCUGCGCUCCAAAGAAUAAAGCCCUAACUUGUUCAACCUUUCUCUGUAACUUAGUUGUUGAAACCCAGGCAACAUUCUAGUAAAUCUCCUCUGUACUUUCUCUAUUUUGUUGACAUCCUUCCUAUAAUUAGGCGACCAAAAUUGUACACCAUACUCCAAAAUUGGCCUCACCAAUGCCUUGUACAAUUUUAACAUUACAUCCCAACGUCUAUA